rnacentral:rRNA from 1 species
GGGAUUCCUACGGGAGGCAGCAGUCGGGAAUCUUAGACAAUGGGGGCAAGCAUGAUCUAGCCAUGCCGYAAAGGUGAUUCAGGCCYUAGGGUAGUAAAGCUCUUUCUACCGGUUUGAUAAKGCRGUAUCUGAUAAAGAAACCCCGGCUAACUCCGKGCCACCAGCCGCGGUAAUACGGAGGGGGUAAGCGUUGUUSGGAAUUAYUGGGGGUAAAGCGGAYGUAGGCGGAUUAAUAAUUUAGAGGUAAAAUCCCCAGGGCUCAACCCGGRAASKGCCUUUAAAAUUGUUARUUUUGAGAUCGAGAGAGGWAAGGGGAAUUCCAAGUGUASAGGUAAAAUUGGUAGAUAUAGGAAGGACCACCAGGGGGGAAGGCGGUUUASGGGCCAAAUACKGACGUUGAGGUGGAAAAGUGGGGGGAGCAAACAGGAUUAGAACCCCUUUAUUUCCACACCGUAAACGAUGAAUKCCAGCCGUCGGCAAGUAUACCUKUUGGUGUCCAAGCUAACGCAUUAAGUAUCCGCCGGGAKACGUCGCAUGGUU